GACGAACGCUGGCGGCGUGCCUAAUACAUGCAAGUCGAGCGAAUCUUGAGGUGCUUGCACCUCUUGGUUAGCGGCGGACGGGUGAGUAACACGUGGGCAACCUGCCUGUAAGACUGGGAUAACUUCGGGAAACCGGAGCUAAUACCGGAUAAUCCUUUUUCUCUCAUGAGGAAAAGCUGAAAGUCGGUUUACGCUGACACUUACAGAUGGGCCCGCGGCGCAUUAGCUAGUUGGUGAGGUAACGGCUCACCAAGGCGACGAUGCGUAGCCGACCUGAGAGGGUGAUCGGCCACACUGGGACUGGGACACGGCCCAGACUCCUACGGGAGGCAGCAGUAGGGAAUCUUCCGCAAUGGACGAAAGUCUGACGGAGCAACGCCGCGUGAGCGAUGAAGGCCUUCGGGUCGUAAAGCUCUGUUGUUAGGGAAGAACAAGUAUCGGAGUAACUGCCGGUACCUUGACGGUACCUAACCAGAAAGCCACGGCUAACUACGUGCCAGCCGCCGCCGUAA
rnacentral:rRNA from 1 species